GACAGAGGAGCCAAGCGUUGUCCGGAUUGACUGGGCGUAAAGCGCACGCAGGCGGUUGCGCGCGUGGGGGGUGAAAUCUGGCCGCUUAACGGCCAGGCGCCAUCCCAUACGGCGCGACUGGAGUGAUGCAGAGGUCGAUGGAAUUGCCGGUGUAGUGGUGAAAUGCGCAGAUAUCAGGAGGAACACCGGUGGCGAAGGCGGGUCUCUGGGCCGAUACUGACGCUGAGGAGCGAAAGCGUGGGGAGCGAACAGG
rnacentral:rRNA from 1 species